CAACACAGAUAAAGGGGGUAUAUCCUCUUUUAUUUUUCACUUUUCCAACCCCCCUUCCCCCUUCCCAUUCAUUCUCUUCCUCUUUCUUGCAAAAUCCUAAGCCUCCGCCUGCGUUUUCCCUUCUCUCUUGUCCUAAAAAUUGGAAUAUCUCUGAACAAAUGUAAGAUGCACAAAUUUACAGCGUUAAUUUCAUGCAAGGAAUUAAUGUUGAGGUUGUUUUUACCCAAAUCUUUCCAAAAUCGAGUUUGAGGUGGUUUGGGGGAUAGGUCAAGCCAUUCCCUGAUGUCCAUCCAUGCCUAGGGUUCGUGAAACCCCUUGGAACUUGUGCAGCGUUGAGAAUAAGAUAUGGUGACAACCUAUUCCCUUUGGUAUGGUAUGAGUUGCAGUUCACUGAAGCCAAUAGUGUAUGAUCAAGUCCUUUGAUUGUGCACUUGUAAUCAAAUUGGGUAUAUAUGUAUUUAUGUGUAUAAUUAUGUUAGUGAUA